UACGUAGGGGGCAAGCGUUGUCCGGAAUCAUUGGGCGUAAAGCGCGUGUAGGCGGCCAGAAAAGUCCGCUGUGAAAACUCGAGGCUCAACUUCGAGCUGUCGGUGGAAACUUUCUGGCUAGAGUCCGGAAGAGGAGAAUGGAAUUCCUGGUGUAGCGGUGAAAUGCGCAGAUAUCAGGAAGAACACCCGUGGCGAAGGCGGUUCUCUGGGCCGAUACUGACGCUGAGGAGCGAAAGCGUGGGGAGCGAACAGG
rnacentral:rRNA from 1 species